rnacentral:rRNA from 1 species
UACGAAGGGGGCUAGCGUUGCUCGGAAUCACUGGGCGUAAAGCGCACGUAGGCGGAUCUUUAAGUCAGGGGUGAAAUCCCAAGGCUCAACCUUGGAACUGCCUUUGAUACUGGGGAUCUCGAGUCCGGAAGAGGUGAGUGGAACUGCGAGUGUAGAGGUGAAAUUCGUAGAUAUUCGCAAGAACACCGGUGGCGAAGGCGGCCAUCUGGACGGUAACUGACGCUGAGACGCGAAAGCGUGGGGAGCAAACAGGG